UAAUACGGGGGGGGCCAGCGUUGUUCGGAAUUACUGGGCGUAAAGGGCGUGUAGGCGGCCUUCUAAGUCAGACGUGAAAUCCCUCGGCUCAACCGGGGAACUGCGUCUGAUACUGGAGGGCUUGAAUUCGGGAGAGGGAUGCGGAAUUCCAGGUGUAGCGGUGAAAUGCGUAGAUAUCUGGAGGAACACCGGUGGCGAAGGCGGCAUCCUGGACCGAUAUUGACGCUUAAGCGCGAAAGCCAGGGGAGCAAACGGG
rnacentral:rRNA from 1 species